CUCCAAUGAUGGCUUCUGUUUUGUGCCACAUGCCUGGGCCGCUGAAUAUUCAUGGUGAAACUGAUAUGUCAAG